GGUCGCUUUGGGAGGAGCUCGCUUACUAUCAGCUUGUUGGUAGGGUAAUGGCCUACCCAGGCUAUGACGGUUAGGGGGUGUGAGAGCAUGACCCCCAGCAUUGGCACUGAAACACUGGCCAAACACCUACGGGUGGCUGCAGUCGAGAAUCUUCCACAAUGGGGGAAACCCUGAUGGAGCGAUGCUGCGUGCGGGAUGAAGGCCUUCGGGUUGUAAACCGCUUUUGUANGGGACGAAAUUUUUGACGGUACCCUUUCGAAUAAGAGGUUGCUAACUCUGUGCCAGCAGCAGCGGUAAUACAGAGACCUCAAGCGUUAUCCGGAUUUACUGGGCGUAAAGCGUCUGUAGGGGGUAUAUUAAGUUCCAAGUAAAAUUUCAGGGCUCAACUUUGAAUUCGCUUGGAAAACUAAUAAACUGGAGUCUAGCAGAGGUGCAUGGAACUUGUGGUGUAGGAGUGAAAUCCGUUGAUAUCACAAGGAACACCAAAGGCGAAGGCAUUGCACUGGGCUAGCACUGACCCUGAGAGACGAAAGCGUGGGGAGCAAAACGGAUUAGAUACCCGUGUAGUCCACGCCCUAAACGAUGAAUGCUAAAUGUUCGGGG
rnacentral:rRNA from 1 species